rnacentral:rRNA from 1 species
UGCGUAGGCGGUCCCGCAAGUCCGCUGUGAAAGCCCCGGGCUCAACCUGGGAAUGGCAGUGGAAACUAGGGGACUUGAAUCUGGCAGAGGGGGGUGGAAUGCCACGUGUAGCAGUGAAAUGCGUAGAGAUGUGGCGGAACACCGAUGGCGAAGGCAGCCCCCUGGGCUGAGAUUGACGCUCAGGCACGAAAGCGUGGGAGCAAACA